rnacentral:lncRNA from 1 species
CAAUAGUUUCAAGCUGCUGAUUCUCAGAGCAGUAAUCCAUCCCAGCAUUGGUCUGAAGAACCCUGUGAACUGAGAAUUCACUAACCUUCACAGACUGGCUCGGCACUAGCACCUCUACUUCUCUACAGGUGAUCUCUAAUAGCCUUGCAGGCAGUGGUCCAGACAUCAAAAACUAAAAAAAAAUCUUUAAAAGCCAAUGCUUACUAUAAACUCUAAAAGAUUUUUCUCUCCUGCUAAACAAGAUAGCCCCUUAGAGAGAAGUUAUUUCUUUUAACUAAAUAUGUGUCCUUGACGAAAUAAUGAGGACUUUUCCUCAGUAUAACCGAAAUAGAAAAGUCAAAAGCAGGAAAACAAAGACUGUAAGAAUAUAAGGAAAACCCUCAUGGGAGAUGAGAGAAUGGAAGCCAAUAAAUCAGAAAUCUUUACAAGGAUACCAGAUCUAGUAAACAUUGAUUCUGUUUAUUCCAGGUGUACAAAAGAAAUGGAAGAUUCAUCCUUUUCAGCUUUACAAGGUCAUUUAUAAUUCUACUCCAGUCCUCCAAAGUAAUAACUACUUACUCCAAUUUGCUGUUGUCUGUAAAUUUGAUCAUCGUGUGCUGUAGUCUGUCACCACACAACAGCGGAACAUGUUAAAUCGCCUCAUAUCUAAGAAGAAACAACGGAUGCUACAGUUUGUUCGCAGCCAUCGGCAGUUCCGGUGCCGUUUCAGGUGCGGCAGGAUUUCGGGAUCUCGGUGGAGCUGCGGUCUUGACGGUGACCCGAGGAGGGUUAACACAGAAGUG